UACAGAGGGUGCAAGCGUUAAUCGGAAUUACUGGGCGUAAAGCGUGCGUAGUCGGUUAUCUAAGUCAGGUGUGAAAUCCCCGGGCUCAACCUGGGAAUUGCAUUUGAUACUGGAUAGCUAGAGUUCGGCAGAGGGAAGUGGAAUUUCUGGUGUAGCGGUGAAAUGCGUAGAUAUCAGAAGGAACAUCAGUGGCGAAAGCGACUUCCUGGACCAGAACUGACGAUCAGGCACGAAAGCGUGGGGAGCAAACAGC
rnacentral:rRNA from 1 species